rnacentral:rRNA from 1 species
UACAGAGGGUGCGAGCGUUAAUCGGAAUUACUGGGCGUAAAGCGCACGUAGGUGGCGACGUAAGUCGGGUGUGAAAGCCCCGGGCUCAACCUGGGAAUUGCAUUCGAGACUGCAUUGCUGGAGUACGGAAGAGGAAGGCGGAAUUCCCGGUGUAGCGGUGAAAUGCGUAGAUAUCAGGUGGAACACCAGUGGCGAAGGCGGUGUUCUGGGCCAGUACUGACGCUGAGGCGCGAAAGCGUGGGGAGCGAACAGG